AUUUCAUUGGAUACUCGGAGAGGUUAAAGGGUUACAAAUUUUAUGAUCUCACUACAAAGUAAACUUUUUAAACGAGAAAUGCCCCGUUCUUUGAUGAUAUAUAGUUUGUGGAGGAAUAUAAUGUUAGGAAUUUUGUCUUUAAGAAGGAAUGUAUAAACAUUUCUUCCAUUGUAAUUAACUAUGUAUGGAUUAUGGACAAAUUCUUGCUCCAAAACUUGUUCAAGAAGCAAUUCUCGAUCAAAACAAUACUCUAGAACCUCAUAUAAACAAUCAAGAAAUUAUUCUAGAGAACAAUCUCAAUAACUUUAAAUACAAUGCCAUUAAGGAGAUCCACUCGAGAAACUAGAAAUGUAAUAAUGGAUGAUUUUAUAGUAUUUCUCCAAGAACAUAAUGAUGGCAUUCGAUUAAUGGAACAAGAUCCAAUCAAAUUUUACAUAGCAAUGCAAAAUGAUAAUUCUCAAAAGUGGAUUGGUUCUAUGAAUAAAAAAAUAAAGUCCAUGAAAGACAAUAACGUUUAAGAACUUGUCCCGUUGCUUGAAGGUAUGAAACACAUUGGUUGCAAAUGGAUAUUUAAAAUUAAAAGAGAUUCCAAGGGUAAUAUGGAAAGAUAUAAGGCUCGUCUUGUUGCUAAAUGCUUUAUUCAAAGGGAAUGUAUCGAUUAUAAUGAGACUUUCUCUCUAGUGUCAAUGAAAGACUCUUUUAAGAUUGUAAUAUCACUUGUGGUACUGUUGACACAUAAAAAUUCAGCCAAAAUCGAACGGCCCAAGGAAUGAAGCCCAAAUUGGAGGAUCCCCGAAUCAGAUAGCUCAAAGAACGAAACCAAAUCAAACAAUUCAAGAUGAAGGCCCAAAUAGGAAGGCCCAAGAACGCGAUAACACCAUCGCCCAAGUUUGCAAGUCGCCCAGAAUCUGAGCGAAUGAAGUGCCAUGCAAUCACCCAGAGCUGUUACUCUAUUCUCGCCCAAACCUUCAAGUCGCCUAAAGUCUUAACAAACAUAAAGCGUUGUGGUUAUCAAGAAGUGCAGUUAUCAAAGCAGUUAUUAAAGCAGCCCUAUCACGUUCCACGAUUCAAGGAAUUCAAUCGAAAACGGUUGAACGACGAAGAGUAAUGUAGCAGUUAAAAAAGGCAGUUUUCAUGACAAGCUGGCCAUUAUGAAGAAAGUGGGCAGUUGCAGAACGAUCAAGCAGUUUUUAGGCGGUUGAUCACAAAAAAGAUCAUCCAUGGAGUAUAAAAGGGAGAAAAGACAUAGAGCAAAGGACCGAAUCAAAAACUCUCGAACAGAGAACAUGUAAUUUUAAUUUCUUUAGUUUAGACUUAAACACUUUUUUCAGUAACUUGUGUGCUUGCACCUCUUGGAGGCAUUUUGUUUUUGAUUUCCAAUUGUAAAGUUAUCGCCAAUAAAAGAACACCCCUUUUUAGGACUUUGUCUCAAGAGGUUUGUCCCUUACACAAUCAUCUGAUCCCUUUUAAUUGUUAGCGACUAACCCGCGCGAAACAAUUUGGCACGCCCAGUGGGAUAGUGGUGUUUGGUGUUGAAAGUACAAAAGGUGAAACAAUAUGCCUCAGAGAUCCGAUAAGGAAGCAGCAAGUCAAGGAGGAGUUCAGUCUGUGAUCGAGCGAUAUGAGGAGCAGCAUGCCUCUCCACGAACAGAUGGACAGAAUCAGAGCAGUAAUAGUCGUUACGAACCAAUGACGGAGUUGAGUCCUCGAACCAUGCGUGCGUUACUUGGAGAACUCACACAAGACGUUGUUGAACAGGUAAAUCUUCGAAAUAUUCAUAAUAUGGAAAGAUUUACCCAAAAUGGGAAUGCACACUAUGACAACAUGGACAAACAACUAAACACUUUGAACGAAACAAUGAAUAAGUUAGUAGGCCAAAUAUGUCAACCGGUUAUACUCUUGCAAAUCACU
rnacentral:lncRNA from 1 species